GCGGCGAUAGCUCAGUGGCAGAGCGGUCGACUGCAGUGCACAUGCGCUCACAUCGUCAGGUCACCAGUUCAAACCUGGUUCGUCGCU